ensembl:misc_RNA 7SK 7SK RNA
GGGUUCUGCUGCAAUGUCUGCCACUCUGGUUGUAGCCAGAGUUGAUUUGGCUGAUCUGGUCAACUAGGCAGGUGUCCCCUUCCUUCCUUCCUCCAAGCUUAGUUUACAAACCACAGGCUCCAUCCAAAAAAAAAAAAAAGAGAUGGCCUUCCCCAAUAGAAGAUUGUUCUUUGGUCAAGUAUGUAUGAGUAUCUGUGCUUAUGUACUAGAACUUCAAUAAAAAAGCUCCCAUGGUCUAUUUGUAGAAGGGUUAAUCAAGCUUCCAAAACUUCAGAUAUUAUCUAGAUGUGGAAAGUUG